GAAAAAUAGCUUAUAUUUACAAUUAGAUUACUAAGUAGCUUAAGCACACAAGGCAAUUAAAUAAUCAAAUACACAAGGCUAGAUAUUGAAACAUUCGUCCCUUUGUUUUGAAAAAUAGACUAAAAAGUCUCUAAGGUUUGGUUCCAUUAAACAUUGUAGUCCUUUCAUCCAUUUUCUAAGUAUAUUCCAGCAUAUUCCGCUUAGUCAAACAAAUCAAAAUUUCAGAUAAAUUACUGUUUUGUCGCUUAGUUUUGUCAUUAUU
rnacentral:misc_RNA from 1 species